rnacentral:rRNA from 1 species
UAGUCUGCAACCCGACUACAUGAAGCUGGAAUCGCUAGUAAUCGCGAAUCAGAAUGUCGCGGUGAAUACGUUCCCGGGUCUUGUACACACCGCCCGUCACACCAUGGGAGUCGGAAAUGCCCGAAGUCAGUGACCUAACCGAAAGGGAGGAGCUGCCGAAGGUGGAGCCGGUAACUGGGUGAAGUCGUAACAAGGUAUC